rnacentral:rRNA from 1 species
AUUCCAGCUCCAAUAGCGUAUAUUAAAGUUGUCGCAGUUAAAAAGCUCGUAGUUGGAUUUCCGGCGUGAGGGAUCAGUCUGACUUCUAGUCAGUACUUGGUCCUCUCAUGCCGUCCUUGAAUGGUGCAUCCUGGCAUUAAGUUGUCGGGGUGAGAGCCGUUCAUCGUUUACUGUGAGAAAAUUAGAGUGUUCAAAGCAGGCUUAUGCCGUUGAAUAUAUUAGCAUGGAAUAAUAAGAUAGGACUUUGGUACUAUUUUGUUGGUUUGAGAACCAAGGUAAUGAUCAAUAGGGACAGUUGGGGGUAUUCGUAUUCAGUUGUCAGAGGUGAAAUUCUUAGAUUUCCGGAAGACGAACUACUGCGAAAGCAUUUACCAAGGAUGUUUUCAUUA